CAGUAAUGACCAGACACAUCACACCCGCCUUCUAGAAGCCCUCCCUCACAAACCGGAUCAACUGCUAUGAUAAAGAAACCUUUUAUUUGCUUGCAUAGUUUGGUUUCCUUCUUUUCAUGAUUCACCAUUAGAAGAACCCACCCAGGUAAUCACUGCUUGCUCGGAUCCCAGCAAAUUCUAGAUCCCAGAACUAGUGCUCUUAGAGCCAAGGCCAGCCGAUCCAAGUCUGGACUACUGCUCAGAUGAGCCGAGCCUGAAUUUGGGAGUGGUUGUUACAGAGCAUUACCCUGGCAAUAACUGACUGAUGCAGAGAUGUAAAUAGACAUCACUGGUGGAGCCCCCAGGAAAGCUCUUUAACAGAAGACAGACUCAGCUGGCAGGUUUCCCGUCUCCUUGAAUGAAGACAGGCUCAAUGCUUGGAGGGGUGAGAGGAGGCAGCCAUCUUACAACCACAGGUCACAGGAAGACACUAAACAAGGCCGUGUGGAAAGACAGAAGGAGCCUCCAUCCCUCAGCACCACAGAGACAUUGUAUCAGCCUAGAAAUGCCUAAAUCUGAACUUCCUCUUACCUAAGAAAAAUAAAACCUCAAUUUGAUU
rnacentral:lncRNA from 10 species